UACGUAGGGUGCGAGCGUUAAUCGGAAUUACUGGGCGUAAAGCGUGCGCAGGCGGUGAUGUAAGUCCGAUGUGAAAUCCCCGGGCUUAACCUGGGAACUGCAUUGGUGACUGCAUCGCUCGAGUAUGGCAGAGGGGGGUAGAAUUCCACGUGUAGCAGUGAAAUGCGUAGAGAUGUGGAGGAAUACCGAUGGCGAAGGCAGCCCCCUGGGUCAAUACUGACGCUCAUGCACGAAAGCGUGGGGAGCAAAAGGG
rnacentral:rRNA from 1 species